rnacentral:rRNA from 1 species
UGAAUACGAGACGCUAAGGCGUCGAAGUAGUGUAUGUCAUACUUCCAAGAAAAGCUUGCACUGUCAUAGAUAAAAAACGCCUGUACCAUAACCGACACAGGUGGGUAGGUAGAGUAUACUAAGGGGCGCGAGAUAACUCUCUCUAAGGAACUCGGCAAAAUAACUCCGUAACUUCGGGAGAAGGAGUGCCUUAUUAUUAAGGCUGCAAUAACAAGAUCCAAGCAACUGUUUAUCAAAAACACAGGUCUCCGCUAAGUCGUAAGACGAUGUAUGGGGGCUGACGCCUGCCCAGUGCCAGAAGGUUAAAGAAGUUGGUUAGCAUUUGCGAAGCUGAUAACUGAAGCCCUGGUGAACGGCGGCCGUAACGAUAACGGUCCUAAGGUAGCGAAAUUCCUUGUCGGGUAAGUUCCGACCCGCACGAAAGGCGUAAUGAUUUGGAUACUGUCUCGGAGAGGGGCUCGGUGAAAUAGACUUGUCUGUGAAGAUGCGGACUACCUGCACCAGGACAGAAAGACCCUAUGAAGCUUUACUGUAACUUGAAAUUGAAAUUGGACUUUAUUCGCGCAGCAUAGGUGGGAGGCGUUGAUUAUAAUCUUGUGGGAUUAUUGGAGCCAUCAGUGAGAUACCACUCUUGUAAUGUUAGAUUUCUAACUUUGAAUCAUUAUCUGGUCAAAGAACAGUUUCAGGCGGGCAGUUUGACUGGGGCGGUCGCCUCCUAAACGGUAACGGAGGCGUACAAAGGUUUCCUCUGAACGGUUAGAAAUCGUAUCUAGAGUGUAAAGGCAUAAGGAAGCUUGACUGUGAGACCUACAAGUCGAGCAGGGACGAAAGUCGGUCUUAGUGAUCUGACGGUACUGAGUGGAAAGGCCGUCACUCAACGGAUAAAAGUUACUCUAGGAUAACAGGCUGAUCUCCCCCAAGAGUUCACAUCGACGGGGAGGUUUGGCACCUCGAUGUCGGCUCAUCGCAUCCUGGGGCGGUAGUACGUCCCAAGGGUUGGGCUGUUCGCCCAUGAAAGCGGUACGCGAGCUGGGUUCAGAACGUCGUGAGACAGUUCGGUCCAUAUCCGGUGUAGGCGUUAGAAUAUUGAGAGGAGCCUUCUUUAGUACGAGAGGACCGAGAGGGACAUACCUCUGGUGUACCAGUUAUCGUGCCAACGGUAAACGCUGGGUAGCUAUGUAUGGAGUGGAUAACCGCUGAAAGCAUCUAAGUGGGAAGCCCACCUCAAGAUAAG